AGUGAACGCUGGCGGUAGGCCUAACACAUGCAAGUCGAACGGCAGCACAGUAAGAGCUUGCUCUUACGGGUGGCGAGUGGCGGACGGGUGAGGAAUACAUCGGAAUCUACUUUUUCGUGGGGGAUAACGUAGGGAAACUUACGCUAAUACCGCAUACAACCUACGGGUGAAAGCAGGGGAUCUUCGGACCUUGCGCGAUUGAAUGAGCCGAUGUCGGAUUAGCUAGUUGGCGGGGUAAAGGCCCACCAAGGCGACGAUCCGUAGCUGGUCUGAGAGGAUGAUCCGCCACACUGGAACGGAGACACGGUCCAGACUCCUACGGGAGGCAGCAGUGGGGAAUAUUGGACAAUGGGCGCAAGCCUGAUCCAGACAUACCGCGUGGGUGAAGAAGGCCUUCGGGUUGUAAAGCCCUUUUGUUGGGAAAGAAAAGCAGCAGGUUAAUACCCCGCUGUUCUGACGGUACCCAAAGAAUAAGCACCGGCUAACUUCGUG
rnacentral:rRNA from 1 species